rnacentral:rRNA from 1 species
UACAGAGGUCUCAAGCGUUUGUUCGGAUUCAUUGGGCGUAAAGGGCGCGUAGGCGGCGGGGUAAGUCGGGUGUGAAAUCUCAGAGCUCAACUCUGAAAUGGCACUUGAUACUGCUCUGCUAGAGGACUGGAGAGGAGAUUGGAAUUCACGGUGUAGCAGUGAAAUGCGUAGAUAUCGUGAGGAAGACCGGUGGCGAAGGCGGAUCUCUGGACAGUUCCUGACGCUGAGGCGCGAAGGCCAGGGGGAGCAAAACGGGG